GCAUUGGUGGUUCAGCGGUAGAAUUCUUGUCUUCCAGACCUGGGUUUGAUUCCUGGUCAAUGUG
rnacentral:tRNA from 1 species